GCUCCCGUCGUCUAGUCAGGUCUAGGACACCUGGUUUUCAUCCAGGCGACACGGGUUCGAAUCCCGUCGGGAGUA
rnacentral:tRNA from 2 species